rnacentral:lncRNA from 1 species
UGAUUAGAAAACAGAUGUAGCCAGGUGCGGUGGCUCACGCCAGCACUCUUGGGCCAAGGCGGGCAAAUCACCAGGUCAGGAGUUCGAGACCAGCCUGGCCAACAUGGUGAAACCCCCAUCUUACUUAAAACACAAAAAUUAGCUGGGCGUGGUGGCAGGCGCCUGUAGUUCCAGCCACCCACGAGGCUGAGGCAGGAGAAUCGCUUGAACCAGGUAGGCGGAGAUUGCAGUGAGCCGAGAUUGCGCCACUGCACUCCAGCCUGGGUGACAGGGAGACUCCAUCUCAAAGAAAAAAAAAGUGACCUUUUGCAGCACAUAGCUGAUUUGACUGCUUUGUGGAGUACACCAAGCAGGUUGUCAAACUGGUGGUCCCUUUACUGAAAUUUUAUUUCCACAAUGGUGUUGGAGGGGCAGCAGCAGAAUCCGUGCCUUUUCUUCUGGAGUGUGUGAGAGUCCGUGGUCCUGAGUAUCUCACACAGAUGUGGCAAUUUAUGUGAUGUUCUGAUUAAGACCAUUGGUACAGAAACAGAUUCAGAUGUCCUCAGAAAUAAUGCAUUGUUUAGCAAAGUGCAUUGAAGUUAUGGGAGAUGGAUGCCUUAAUAAUGAACACUUUGAAGAACACCUUUGCCACAUGUCCUCAGGACCUUCUGAGGGCUGUGUCAUGGGGCAUGGUCACUCAUAUUUGACUCAAUAAAUUUCUUCAAAUAUUUUAAAGAGUUUGACCCUUAGUCGACACAGUUGAUGUGUGGAGCACUCUUGCUGUGCCAGCCAGUGUUUCAAAGCCAUUUAGAUAUUUUUGCUCAUUAAAUCUUCAUCAGCAGAAACUCUGUAGGUAAGUUUAAUGAUUCCUCGUGUCACAGACAAGGUGACUGAAAGAAGAAAAAAUUCAGGAACUUGCCCAAAGUCAGCCA